rfam:Leifsonia rubra CMS 76R Leifsonia_rubra_contig_18, whole genome shotgun sequence.
UUCGGCGGCCAUAGCGAGAGGGAAACGCCCGGUCACAUUCCGAACCCGGAAGCUAAGACUCUCUGCGCCGAUGGUACUGCAAGGGGGACCUUGUGGGAGAGUAGGACACCGCCGGAC